rnacentral:rRNA from 1 species
GACGAACGCUGGCGGCGUGCUUAACACAUGCAAGUCGAACGGAAAGGCCCUGCUUUUGUGGGGUGCUCGAGUGGCGAACGGGUGAGUAACACGUGAGUAACCUGCCCUUGACUUUGGGAUAACUUCAGGAAACUGGGGCUAAUACCGGAUAGGAGCUCCUGCUGCAUGGUGGGGGUUGGAAAGUUUCGGCGGUUGGGGAUGGACUCGCGGCUUAUCAGCUUGUUGGUGGGGUAGUGGCUUACCAAGGCUUUGACGGGUAGCCGGCCUGAGAGGGUGACCGGCCACAUGGGGACUGAGAUACGGCCCAGACGCCUACGGGAGGCAGCAGUGGGGAAUAUUGCACAAUGGGCGGAAGCCUGAUGCAGCAACGCCGCGUGCGGGAUGACGGCCUUCGGGUUGUAAACCGCUUUCGCCUGUGACGAAGCGUGAGUGACGGUAAUGGGUAAAGAAGCAACGGCUAACUACGUG